rnacentral:rRNA from 1 species
AUACGUAGGGGCGAGCGUUGUCCGGAAUGAUUGGGCGUAAAGGGCGCGUAGGCGGCCCGGUAAGUCUGGAGUGAAAGUCCUGUUUUUAAGAUGGGAAUUGCUUUGGAUACUGUCGGGCUUGAGUGCAGGCGAGGUAAGUGGAAUUCCCAGUGUAGCGGUGAAAUGCGUAGAGAUUGGGAGGAACACCAGUGGCGAAGGCGACUUACUGGACUGUAACUGACGCUGAGGCGCGAAAGUGUGGGGAGCAAACAGGAUUAGAUACCCUGGUAGUCCACACUGUAAACGAUGAAUGCUAGGUGUAGGGGGUAUCGACCCCUUCUGUGCCGCAGUCAACACAAUAAGCAUUCCGCCUGGGGAGUACGGCCGCAAGGUUGAAACUUAAAGGAAUUGACGGGG